rnacentral:rRNA from 1 species
GCCGGGGCUUCUUCUCCUGCUACUGUCAUCAUCAUCGCAGGUGAAAGCGCUUUACAACCCUAAGGCCUUCUUCACGCACGCGGCAUUGCUGGAUCAGGGUUUCCCCCAUUGUCCAAUAUUCCCC